rnacentral:rRNA from 1 species
CCCUUAGAUGUUCUGGGCCGCACGCGUGCUACACUGAGUGGAUCAGCGGGUCAGGUUGCGCGAAAGCGUUUCCUAAUCUUUAAAUCCGCUCGUGAUGGGGAUUGACGGUUGCAAUUUUCUGUCAUGAACGAGGAAUACCUUGUAAGCGCGGGUCAUCAUCCCGCGCUGAAUACGUCCCUGCCCUUUGUACACACCGCCCGUCGCUCCUACCGAUUGAGUGGUCCGGUGAGGCUUUGGGAUCUAAGCGGAAAGAGCGUUUCGCUGUUUCUGCUCGGAAAACUCAGUCGAACCUUAUCAUUUAGAGGAAGGAGAGGUCGUAACA